rnacentral:tRNA from 1 species
CACAGGAUGGCUAAGUGGUUAAGCGUCGGACUCAUACUCCGAAAUCGCGGGUUCGAAUCCCGCUCCGUAA